rnacentral:rRNA from 1 species
GGGAGGGGCGCGAGCGUUAUUCGGAAUCAUUGGGCGUAAAGCGCGUGUAGGCGGCUGGGGCAAGUCGGGAUGUGAAAGCCCGGGGCUCAACCCCGGAAUUGCAUUCGAAACUGCCCCCAGCUAGAGUCUCGGAGAGGAGGGCGGAAUUCCCGGUGUAGAGGUGAAAUUCGUAGAUAUCGGGAGGAACACCAGUGGCGAAGGCGGCCCUCUGGACGAUGACUGACGCUGAGACGCGAAAGCGUGGGGAGCAAACAGGAUUAGAUACCCUGGUAGUCCACGCCGUAAACGUUGGGUGCUAGGUGUCGCGGGUAUUGACCCCUGCGGUGCCGUCGUUAACGCAUUUAGCACCCCGCCUGGGGAGUACGGUCGCAAGACUA